rnacentral:rRNA from 1 species
UGUGCACUCUAGCGAGACUGCCGUUUACAAACCGGAGGAAGGUGGGGAUGACGUCAAAUCAUCAUGCCCAUUAUGACCUGGGCUACACACGUGCUACAAUGGGAAGUACAACGAGUCGCUAGACCGCGAGGUCAUGAAAAUCUCUUAAAGCUUCUCUCAGUUCGGAUUGCAGGCUGCAACUCGCCUCCAUGAAGCCGGAAUCGCUAGUAAUCGCGGAUCAGCACGCCGCGGUGAAUACGUUC